rnacentral:rRNA from 1 species
UACGGAGGGGGCUAGCGUUGUUCGGAAUUACUGGGCGUAAAGCGCGCGUAGGCGGCUUUGUAAGUUAGAGGUGAAAGCCCGGAGCUUAACUCCGGAACUGCCUUUAAGACUGCAUCGCUAGAAUCGUGGAGAGGUGAGUGGAAUUCCGAGUGUAGAGGUGAAAUUCGUAGAUAUUCGGAAGAACACCAGUGGCGAAGGCGGCUCACUGGACCGGCAUUGACGCUGAGGUGCGAAAGCGUGGGGAGCAAACAGG